CGUGUAGGCGGUCAGGUAAGUCAGAUGUGAAAUCCCUGGGCUUAACCCAGGAAUUGCAUUUGAAACUGCUUGGCUUGAGUACGGGAGAGGAGAGUGGAAUUCCCGGUGUAGAGGUGAAAUUCGUAGAUAUCGGGAGGAACACCAGUGGCGAAGGCGGCUCUCUGGACCGAUACUGACGCUGAGACGCGAAAGCGUGGGGAGCAAACA
rnacentral:rRNA from 1 species